UCCGUAGGUGGAUAAUUAAGUCAGGGGUGAAAGUCUGCAGCUCAACUGUAGAAUUGCCUUUGAUACUGGUUAUCUUGAAUUAUUAUGAAGUAGUUAGAAUAUGUAGUGUGGCGGUGAAAUGCAUAGAUAUUACAUAGAAUACCAAUUGCGAAGGCAGAUUACUAAUAAUAUAUUGACACUGAUGGACGAAAGCGUGGGGAGCGAACAGGAUUAGAUACCCUGGUAGUCC
rnacentral:rRNA from 1 species